GAUGAACGCUGGCGGCGUGCCUAAUACAUGCAAGUCGAGCGAACGGACGAGAAGCUUGCUUCUCUGAUGUUAGCGGCGGACGGGUGAGUAACACGUGGAUAACCUACCUAUAAGACUGGGAUAACUUCGGGAAACCGUAGCUAAUACCGGAUAAUAUUUUGAACCGCAUGGUUCAAAAGUGAAAGACGGUCUUGCUGUCACUUAUAGAUGGAUCCGCGCUGCAUUAGCUAGUUGGUAAGGUAACGGCUUACCAAGGCAACGAUGCAUAGCCGACCUGAGAGGGUGAGCGGCCACACUGGAACUGAGACACGGUCCAGACCCCUACGGGAGGCAGCAGUAGGGAAUCUUCCGCAAUGGGCGAAAGCCUGACGGAGCAACGCCGCGUGAGUGAUGAAGGUCUUCGGAUCGUAAAACUCUGUUAUUAGGGAAGAACAUAUGUGUAAGUAACUGUGCACAUCUUGACGGUACCUAAUCAGAAAGCCACGGCUAACUACGUG
rnacentral:rRNA from 1 species